rnacentral:rRNA from 1 species
CAGCUUGCUGGGGGAUUAGUGGCGAACGGGUGAGUAACACGUGAGUAACCUGCCCUUGACUCUGGGAUAAGCCUGGGAAACCGGGUCUAAUACUGGAUAUGACCUUCUGGCGCAUGCCAUGUUGGUGGAAAGCUUUAUUGCGGUUUUGGAUGGACUCGCGGCCUAUCAGCUUGUUGGUGGGGUAAUGGCCUACCAAGGCGACGACGGGUAGCCGGCCUGAGAGGGUGGACGGCCACACUGGGACUGAGACACGGCCCAGACUCCUACGGGAGGCAGCAGUGGGGAAUAUUGCACAAUGGGCGCAAGCCUGAUGCAGCGACGCCGCGUGGGGGAUGAAGGCCUUCGGGUUGUAAACCUCUUUCAGUAGGGAAGAAGCGAAAGUGACGGUACCUGCAGAAGAAGCGCCGGCUAACUACGUGCCAGCAGCCGCGGUAAUACGUAGGGCGCAAGCGUUAUCCGGAAUUAUUGGGCGUAAAGAGCUCGUAGGCGGUUUGUCGCGUCUGCCGUGAAAGUCCGGGGCUUAACCCCGGAUCUGCGGUGGGUACGGGCAGACUAGAGUGAUGUAGGGGAGACUGGAAUUCCUGGUGUAGCGGUGAAAUGCGCAGAUAUCAGGAGGAACACCGAUGGCGAAGGCAGGUCUCUGGGCAUUAACUGACGCUGAGGAGCGAAAGCAUGGGGAGCGAACAGGAUUAGAUACCCUGGUAGUCCAUGCCGUAAACGUUGGGCACUAGGUGUGGGGGACAUUCCACGUUUUCCGCGCCGUAGCUAACGCAUUAAGUGCCCCGCCUGGGGGAGUACGGCCGCAAGGCUAAAACUCAAAGGAAUUGACGGGGGGCCCGCACAAGCGGGCGGAGCAUGCCGGAUUAAUUUCGAUGCAACGCGGAAGAACCUUACCAAAGGCUUGACAUGGAACUGGNAACAGCGCA